CCUACGGGAGGCAGCAGUGGGGAAUAUUGGGCAAUGGAGGAAACUCUGACCCAGCGACGCCGCGUGCGGGAUGAAGGCCUUCGGGUUGUAAACCGCUUUCAGCAGGGAAGAAGCGAAAGUGACGGUACCUGCAGAAGAAGCACCGGCUAACUAUGUGCCAGCAGCCGCGGUAAUACAUAGGGUGCAAGCGUUGUCCGGAAUUAUUGGGCGUAAAGAGCUCGUAGGUGGUUCGUCACGUCGGAUGUGAAACUCUGGGGCUUAACCCCAGACCUGCAUUCGAUACGGGCGAGCUUGAGUAUGGUAGGGGAGUCUGGAAUUCCUGGUGUAGCGGUGGAAUGCGCAGAUAUCAGGAGGAACACCAAUGGCGAAGGCAGGACUCUGGGCCAUUACUGACACUGAGGAGCGAAAGCGUGGGGAGCGAACAGGAUUAGAUACCCUGGUAGUCUACGCCGUAAACGGUGGGCACUAGUUGUGGGGACCUUCCACGGUCUCUGCGACGCAGCUAACGCAUUAAGUGCCCCGCCUGGGGAGUACGAUCGCAAGAUUAAAACUCAAAGGAAUUGACGG
rnacentral:rRNA from 1 species